UUAAUGUACGCCCGCGAAAAAGGAACAGGAGAGAAACUGGAAAACAGAACAAAUAAAAAGAAAGAGCAAUACAGAGAUCUCUCUAAAAACAGAAGUGAUUAAUGACAAAGGAGCUGGUGCAUCAUCUAAGUUGAUAUAUAAGUCAAUAAAUGUACGCAGCCAUGAUUGAUUAAAAUAUGUACGAGAACUUUAUAGAGCCGUAACUGCGUAAAAGUACUAUUGAUAAUGUGCAUUUAAUAAAAACAACAAGAUUCUUUAAAAUAAACAUGUUUCAACAUCUCAAGAGUAAUAAAGAGUAUUAUGUUUACGAUGAAUA